rnacentral:tRNA from 1 species
GCCCAUUUGGCUCAGUCGGUAUAGCGUGUGACUCUUGAUCUCAGGGUUGUGAGUUUGGGCCCCACAUUGGGUG